AGCUCAGUGGUAGAGUGCUUGCCUUGCAUGCAUGAGGCCCUGGGUUCAAUUCCUCAG
rfam:Dipodomys ordii contig_51294, whole genome shotgun sequence.